rnacentral:rRNA from 1 species
GAUGAACGCUGGCGGCGUGCCUAAUACAUGCAAGUCGAGCGAACAGACGAGGAGCUUGCUCCUCUGACGUUAGCGGCGGACGGGUGAGUAACACGUGGAUAACCUACCUAUAAGACUGGGAUAACUUCGGGAAACCGGAGCUAAUACCGGAUAAUAUAUUGAACCGCAUGGAUCAAUAGUGAAAGACGGUUUUGCUGUCACUUAUAGAUGGAUCCGCGCCGCAUUAGCUAGUUGGUAAGGUAACGGCUUACCAAGGCGACGAUGCGUAGCCGACCUGAGAGGGUGAUCGGCCACACUGGAACUGAGACACGGGCCAGACUCCUACGGGAGGCAGCAGUAGGGAAUCUUCCGCAAUGGGCGAAAGCCUGACGGAGCAACGCCGCGUGAGCGAUGAAGGUCUUCGGAUCGUAAAACUCUGUUAUUAGGGAAGAACAAAUGUGUAAGUAACUAUGCACGUCUUGACGGUACCUAAUCAGAAAGCCACGGCUAACUACGUG